CCUACGGGUGGCAGCAGUGGGGAAUAUUGGGCAAUGGGCGCAAGCCUGACCCAGCAACGCCGCGUGAAGGAAGAAGGCUUUCGGGUUGUAAACUUCUUUUCUGAGGGACGAAGAAAGUGACGGUACCUCAGGAAUAAGCCACGGCUAACUACGUGCCAGCAGCCGCGGUAAUACGUAGGUGGCAAGCGUUAUCCGGAUUUAUUGGGUGUAAAGGGCGUGUAGGCGGGAAAGCAAGUCAGAUGUGAAAACUCAGGGCUCAACCCUGAGCCUGCAUUUGAAACUGUUUUUCUUGAGUGCUGGAAAGGCAAAUGGAAUUUCAUGUGGAGCGGUGAAAUGCGGAGAUAUACCGAGGAACACCAGGGGCGAAGGCCGAUUGCUGGACAGUAACUGACGCUGAGGCGCGAAAGCGUGGGGAGCAAACAGGAUUAGAUACCCCGGUAGUC
rnacentral:rRNA from 1 species